CAGCAGUUAUCGAUGCGAACCGAAGCUCGGUUGAAAUAAACCGUCGGUGAGUCAUUCAAAUUUCUGAUCUAUCAAACUUGAAUGUAGGGUAGCGGCCUACAUUGGUGGUGACGGAUACGGAGGGUCAGGGCUCGACUCCGGAGAGGGCGCCUGAGAGAUGGCGACCACUUCUAAGGAAGGCAGCAGGCGCGACAAAUUACCCAAUGUCCAUUUGAAACAAGAGGAUGAGGUAGUGACCGCGAAUAUAAAUACCGAUUGACUUAUGUUGGUUGGUAAUUUAAAUGAGUACAAUGUAAAUGACUUAACGAGGAUCAAUUGGAGGGCAAGUCUGGUGCCAGCAGCCGCGGUAAUUCCAGCUCCAAUAGCGUAUAUUAAAGUUGUUGCAGUUAAAAAGUUCGUAGUUGGAUUUGAGAAAAGAAGAUUAGCUGGGGAGUAGGAGACUGUAAAAGGUUGAUUGCUUUCCAU
rnacentral:rRNA from 1 species